rnacentral:pre_miRNA from 8 species
CAAUUGCUCAGUAGGCAGUGUAGAUCCUGUGUAAUUAUCAGCAGCUACAUCUGGCUACUGGGUCUCUG